GACAGAGGGGGCAAGCGUUGCUUGGAAUCACUGGGCGUAAAGGGCGCGUAGGCGGGAUGGCAAGUCAGUCGUGAAAUCUCUCGGCUCAACCGAGAAACGUCGGCUGAUACUGCCGUUCUUGAGGGAUGCAGAGGAGACUGGAAUUCCCGGUGUAGCGGUGAAAUGUGUAGAGAUCGGGAGGAACACCGGUGGCGAAGGCGGGUCUCUGGGCAUUUCCUGACGCUGAGGCGCGAAAGCGUGGGGAGCAAACGGG
rnacentral:rRNA from 1 species